UGCAGCGAACAAACACGCGUGCUUCUAACAAGUGCAGCUUAUGUCCAUUUGAAGCACUUUGAUGCUUCGAAAUAUGCGAGAAACUUGUCUCCAGCUAGCCGAGCCAUUCUCUUGUCCGGCCCUGCCGAGCUUUACCAACAAAUGCUAGGCAAAGCCCUAGCUCAUUUCUUUGACGCCAAGUUACUUCUUCUAGACGUCAACGAUUUUGCACUCAAGAUACAGAGCAAAUACGGCAGCGG